UGAGUAACACGUGGGGCAACCUGCCUGUAAGACUGGGAUAACUUCGGGAAACCGAAGCUAAUACCGGAUAGGAUCUUCUCCUUCAUGGGAGAUGAUUGACAGAUGGUUUCGGCUAUCACUUACAGAUGGGCCCGCGGUGCAUUAGCUAGUUGGUGAGGUAACGGCUCACCAAGGCAACGAUGCAUAGCCGACCUGAGAGGGUGAUCGGCCACACUGGGACUGAGACACGGCCCAGACUCCUACGGGAGGCAGCAGUAGGGAAUCUUCCGCAAUGGACGAAAGUCUGACGGAGCAACGCCGCGUGAGUGAUGAAGGCUUUCGGGUCGUAAAACUCUGUUGUUAGGGAAGAACAAGUACAAGAGUAACUGCUCGUACCUUGACGGUACCUAACCAGAAAGCCACGGCUAACUACGUGCCAGCAGCCGCGGUAAUACGUAGGUGGCAAGCGUUAUCCGGAAUUAUUGGGCGUAAAGCGCGCGCAAGGCGGUUUCUUAAGUCUGAUGUGAAAGCCCACGGCUCAACCGUGGAGGGUCAUUGGAAACUGGGGAACUUGAGUGCAGAAGAGAAAAGCGGAAUUCCACGUGUAGCGGUGAAAUGCGUAGAGAUUGUGGAGGAACACCAGUGGCGAAGGCGGCUUUUUGGUCUGUAUCUGACGCUGAGGCUCGUAUAGCGUGGGGAUCAAACAGAAAUUAGAUUACCCUGGUAGUCCACGCCGUAAACGAUGUAGUGCUUAGUGUUAGAGGGUUUCCGCCCUUUAGUGCUGCAGCUAACGCAUUAAGCACUCCGCCUGGGGAGUACGGUCGCAAGACUGAAACUCAAAGGAAUUGACGGGGGCCCGCACAAGCGGUGGAGCAUGUGGUUCAAUUCGAAGCAACGCGAAGAAC
rnacentral:rRNA from 1 species